rnacentral:tRNA from 1 species
GCUGCUGUAGCUCAGUUGGUAGAGCGCUUGAUUCGUAAUCAUGAGGUCGCCCGUUCGAUUCGGGCCAGCAGCACCA